rnacentral:rRNA from 1 species
CUACAUAUCAAUAAGCGGAGGAAAAUAAACUAACAAGGAUUCCCCCUAGUAACUGCGAGUGAAGCGGGAAAAGCUCAAAUUUAAAAUCUGGCAGUCUCUGGCUGUCCGAGUUGUAAUCUAGAGAAGUGAUGCCCGCGCUGGACCGUGUACAAGUCUCCUGGAAUGGAGCGUCAUAGAGGGUGAGAAUCCCGUCUCUGACACGGACUACCAGGGCUUUGUGGUAUCCUCUCAAAGAGUCGAGUUGUUUGGGAAUGCAGCUCUAAAUGGGUGGUAAAUUCCAUCUAAAGCUAAAUAUUGGCGAGAGACCGAUAGCGAACAAGUACCGUGAGGGAAAGAUGAAAAGAACUUUGGAAAGAGAGUUAAACAGUACGUGAAAUUGCUGAAAGGGAAACGCUUGAAGUCAGUCGCGUUAGCUGGGAAUCAGCCUCGCUCUUGCGUGGUGUACUUUCUGGUUGACGGGUCAGCAUCAAUUUUGACUGCUGGAAAAAGGCUUAGGGAAUGUGGCAGCUUCGGCUGUGUUAUAGCCCUUGGUCACAUACAGCGGUUGGGAUUGAGGAACUCAGUACGCCGCAAGGCCGGGUUUCGACCACGUUCGUACUUAGGAUGCUGGCAUAAUGGCUUUAAGCGACCCGUCUUGAAACACGGACCAAGGAGUCUAACAUGCCUGCGAGUGUUUGGGUGGUAAACCCGAGCGCGUAAUGAAAGUGAAAGUUGAGAUCCUUGUCGUAGGGAGCAUCGACGCCCGGACUUGAACUUUUGUGACGGAUCCGCGGUAGAGCAUGUAUGUUGGGACCCGAAAGAUGGUGAACUAUGCCUGAAUAGGGUGAAGCCAGAGGAAACUUCUGGUGGAGGCUCGUAGCGAUUCUGACGUGCAAAUCGAUCGUCAAAUUUGGGUAUAGGGGCGAAAGACUAAUCGAACCAUUCUAGUACCUUGUUCCUGGCAGCUUCCUUCUCUGUCAUCAAGAGAGAGAAGAA